UCCAAUAUGAGUCAUAAUUCACGAUGACUGCCGGUGGGGGAAAGCACUGUGUUUUACAGUAUGUCAUUUAAAUACAAGGCGUCCUUGGUUCUUCCAAUCUGCACAUGAUAAGAUAAAUCGUGUUCUGUACAUGUUGCAUUACGUCUCCAAUUGUUUAUUAGAAAGGAAGCGUCAAAAUUUCUACGUGACCAUUUGAAAGGGGAUGACAACUUUUUCUUCCCCUUAGAAGUAUUCUUUAACAAAAUGCUACUCGAGAGGAGAGACCCUGGAACACGCGCCACCUAUCUUCACGGGGAGGGAUAAUUGAGGCGCACCAAACGUGAGCAUCUUCUGAA